UCGCUUCGCGCCACGCCCGGAGACACGCGCCGUGCGGGCAGCCCCCCCGACUGCGCCGGCCCACAGCGCGACCAGCCGGCCCGCGGGGGCCAGGGACGACAGCACCUGCCCACCCUGCCCCAGAGAUAGCGCUUAGCUAGGCCGUGGCCUGAACAUAAAAUCGUUCAUCUGAAAUUUUUCCCGGUGGCUUACGUCGUGAGGGUCUUUUUUGCAUCUCUGAGGGCCACCACAAGCUGUGGGAUCUCUUGCCUAGACCCCUUGCAUCCAGGGAACCUUCUGAAAUGGCAAAAAUUUGAGGAAAACGGAGGAAAAAAUAAUAAUUGUCAAUGUGCAGAAAGGACCUUGCCCAACAGGACGGGGUAGUGCUGCCUUCCAGGGCACUGGGAUGAGAAGGUACAUCCCUGCUGUCUGGGCAGCUGACCAGACACAAUACUCGAGCAGGGAGAACGCCAGAGCAGAGAAGAAUAAAAACUGUAAAAGCCUUGUCUGAAAGCAAAGCAACAAUGUCGUGAAGACUUGCAGUUUUCUCAAAAGAAAAAUCUGUCCCCCUCCAUUCAAUCUUACCAGCAGAACAGCAACAUGUUGGUAAGGGAGCAGGACAACAUUUCGGCAGAACGCUUGAGGUCAUUCCCAAAUCGCUGCUCAGUGCUGCUGCCCAGCUUCCCAAAACAAACACAGACCCAGGCUCUGCUCUUUGGACUGCACCCCAGGCGGAUCACAGAACAUCCAGCUUGAGGGGGAGGAGAGCUGCCAGAACAAAAACCCGGAGGUGCUGAGCUCCAGUCAACUGCUGUCACGCUGUUCCCAGCUUAAUUCACCACCAGUGAUCCCUUGGUUAACAAAGUCAUUGUGGAUAUUUCUGCUAACAGCUCAACCCAACACAGUGUUGCAGAAGUUCUUUCCAGGGAUGACGUAUUUGGGCUUUUCUUCUUUAAAUACCUUGAGGUUAUCAUUCUCCAUAUGUGUAUGAAGUAGUAUGUGCCAUAUGCUCUUUGCCAGCGCCUAAAACAUCGCUAAGACCAGAAGAAGCUAUAAGACUAUUCUGACUAGGCCUGGGACUGAGCAGCACUCAUCCACUCCCAUGUUUACGCCUCUCUUUUUGACACAAGAGGCUUCCUCUCAUGGUGUUUCUCCCUUAUUCCAUUAGAAAAAAUGGAAUAGUAAAUAAUUGCUGUUAUAAGUAGGUUUUAAUUACUUUGUUCCAGUCAGAAAUAAUCAUUGCUUAUACACAGCUUUUUAAACAGCACAUUUCAAAAUGCCUCUUCUUGUCUCAGAGCACGGAGGAAUUGGGCUUGAUCUCUUUGGGAACUGAUCAUCACAGGCCUUGGAACAAGUGUCCUUUUGAAGUACUGACACUGACCAGGCAAGUGGAACACUCAAGGGUAUUUUUGAUAAAGGAGACGAGUGAACCCUCAUCAUUUUGUUUAUAAUGUAAUACAGUUAUAUAGCUAUGUUUUCCCAUCCAUACUAAAAACUAAAGAAGAAUGUUUGAGAUGAGGACGCCCAAUGGCUUUUGAAAGUAAGUAUGUAGAGAAGCACAGGUUUGUAGCGAUGGGUAGGUCAGCUGCCUGAGGAAGGCUGCAGGGGCCUCUUCUCUUGAUUCCUACUGGCCACUCUCCUCCACACGGUGCUCAGAAAACUGGGGCUGCAGAUGGACUCAGCCCCAGCAGCAGUCAGGAAAUGCCCUAUUCAAUUUAGUCUUCACAAAAAUCCACUAGCAACAGGUUAAUAACUGGAUAUAAGGCUCCUGAAUAAAUGAAGAUGUAUUUUCAGCUCCCUAUACAUCUCCUUUUUCCUACCUUUAAGAUACAUGGAGGCUCUAAAAAUAAAUUUAGAUUCUUUGGUAUAAUUCUGUACUACUUUGAAAAUAUUUGUACCAAAGGUGGUUAUUUGCCUGGGUAGGCAGGUUAAAAUGGAAUCUUCUCACAAGCUCCUGAGACUCAUUUCCAUCCUUGGGCCAGUUUUUUCAAGUACAAUUUUAACAUUUGUGUCAAAAACCCCUACAUGUGCAACAGAGUAUGCUCCAGAUCAGUAGCACACUGCUGAUGUUAUUUGAAACAGCAUCUUGAGCUCCACUGAAAAUUUGAUUCUAAUGGGCAUCAUCUAAUUAGGUAGUGGGAUAGGUAAAGUUCCAGUGAUAAAGAACUUACCAUAAUCCAUAUAAAAGCAGUUUAUUUAAAAGGAAGCUGACAACAGAGGAAAGAUGACCUACAGGGACAAAAAUGGACCUUUUAAAUCAUUCCAGAGCUAAAGCAUUACCAUAAACAGCUAGGUAGGCCCAGGAAGAACUGACUCAGCAGGAACCCCAGCAAAGCCGUUGGAGAACAGAUGUGCAAGUAUUCCAAGGCAACACAUCUCAAGUGCUUACAUCAGUAGUAGGAUAUCUCCUACAUAUUCAAAGCACAUAGCAGAAAUGUUAUGACCUAUCAGGAACUGUAAUCACUUGGUUAUAUACUCCGCAUUAUAUAUCAAGGUGAUCUUUUAUUUGGGGUAUUUAAACGCUGCAGUCUCCAGAAUGAAACUGCUGUCUUUCUAGCCCUGUAUGUUUUCUAAGCAGGAGGUGCUGCUUCAUUAUGACAGAAGUAACAAAGGUGCUCAGAUUGCUUAAAAUGCUAUUUGCUAGCAGUAGCACUACAGAAAAAAGGAAGGACAGUAUAGAAAAUCUUACAUCCCUUCAGAUCCCCAAGCUGUGCAGCAUUGAAUGGGCCUCUGAUCCACAUGCAGAUCCCGCCUGUGUAAGGGUCACUCCAUUUUGUUCAUUUGAACUAUUGCAGGAUUUUCUUACAAAAACCCAAAUCUGUUCAUCAUUUCUACUGUCAAGCAGAAAGGAUGUUCACAUGAGAACUUCUUGCUGCACUUUCAGAUAAAGGCAAGGACACACAAGUGGCGUAAUGGCCGGCACCAAGCGGGAGCUGCCUGAAGGCUUCUCUGCUGUGGUUACCCGGCCAAGUUCCUGCAGCCCGGGAAAAAGUGCAGCACAACCAAGGGACAGCACAGCACAGGCCUGGGCAUGUUCAGGUUGUUGACUGUUCCGUACAUCACUGACUCCUCAAUGUGCAACAGUUUCCUGGUCUGGAUGAUUACAGGCAACUAUUAGAAACACUAUGCAGAUGAAACUUUUACACGAAACACUAUGUUUGCAAGUUUUAUUGCACUCCCUUAAAAGCAUUAUUCAGAAGCAUCUUAAGUGCACAGUCAGGUCACUGUUCAUUUCUUAAGUGUGGAAUUGCUUUCCAGAGUUAUUCCACAAUUUGUAAGUCUCACUACACAUUUUUCUUGUAUUUCCUCUCUGUGUCCAAGCUUAACUCACACCAAGUGCUGGCUAUCUCAGACUUACACAUCAGAGAAGGCCUAGAUAAUUAAAAGUUUUCUGUCAAAUGAACUUGAUGAUCAUCAAAUAUUACGCUUGAACUUUACCUGAGUGAAAGCAGCCACGCUACACAGUCAGAUCCGGUUAGGUUUACUCAGCUCUCCAUCCUUGAUGCACAUGCUGACCAAGGGAGGUUGAAAGGAAGCUCCGGAGGUCACCUCAUUCAUCCACCCCAGCUCUAAUGUGUUGGGUUCAGAUUGAGCUUCCAGCUCUUGGGUAUAGGAGAGCAGCUUUCUCAGAGGCAAUUUAUUCUCUGAGCACUUAAUAACGCAGGGCUCCUUUCUCUGGAGAAGACAGUGGUAUCAACUGCCAGAGACACUGUACUGACUAUGUGAACCACUGGCUGAUUCAACACAGCAAUCCUUAUGACCCUAGGAGGGGAGGUACCAGCUGCAUUCGCACAUGCAGAUUUAUAUUUCGGGAGAUGUAGAAGUAUUUCUAAGCAGCGAUUUAGAAUUCACUCCCGAUGUCUUUAUUAAACACAUAAACACCUAGUUGUUUUGAAACCUUCAAAGCUCAUGACUUCAACAUUUUGAGGUAGUUAUUUUGGUAAUGCAUUUAGUUCCAACAUGUCUUUCUUGUUUGUCCAUUUCAAUUCAGUCAGAUUUGUUUGCUCUCAUGGCCCUUUAUAUUAACCAUUAAGGCCAAUUUUUUCCAGUCUACAGCUGAAAGGUUUCAAUGAAAACCCAUUAUUACUUCAGAUGAACUAUCAAGUUUCUAAAAUAGCCUUUUAUAUGCACAAAAUUAUAUUCUAUCUCAUUCCUUAGGAGUUUUUAAUUUUCAUUUUUUUAUGACUGUGGAACCUGGAGAAUGCAUGUCUGCGAAUUGUUCACAGAGAACUCUUUUUAGAGCACGUUAAUUUAGAAUCCAGUGGGAUAUAUUAAUAGCAUACACUCGAAUGUCAUGUUAAAAAUAAACUUGUCUUUCUGAUGCUUUCAUUCAUGCUGCCUGACUUGUCUCCCUGAUGAUUCUUCUCUGUUGACGAACCUGAAGAGAUUUUGUGCUACCAUCAAAUUUGCCACCUGCCAGCUCAUCUCAGCACCUCUGUAGUCUGGGAUGGAGUCUGUUAACCAGUGCUGUCUUUUUGGCAUGAAAACCUAAAUAGUUAUCCUCACCCUCGUUUUCUCAUAGCCAGUCUCUGUUCUGUGGCAAUACUUUUCCAUCACAUUCACGUAAACUGUGCUUGGAAUGCUACCGGGUUUAUAUACAAUUUUACAGCCCAAAUAAAGGACUCUGUAGAUCAAAA